AACGAACGCUGGCGGCAGGCCUAACACAUGCCAGUCGAGCGGACCUUUCGGGGUCAGCGGCGGACGGAUGAGUAACGCGUGGGAAUAUGCCCUUCUCUACGGAAUAGUCCUGGGAAACUGGGGGUAAUACCGUAUACGCCCUUUGGGGGAAAGAUUUAUCGGGGAAGGAUUAGCCCGCGUUGGAUUAGGUAGUUGGUGGGGUAAUGGCCUACCAAGCCGACGAUCCAUAGCUGGUUUGAGAGGAUGAUCAGCCACACUGGGACUGAGACACGGCCCAGACUCCUACGGGAGGCAGCAGUGGGGAAUCUUAGACAAUGGGGGCAACCCUGAUCUAGCCAUGCCGCGUGAGUGAUGAAGGCCUUAGGGUUGUAAAGCUCUUUCAGCUGGGAAGAUAAUGACGGUACCAGCAGAAGAAGCCCCGGCUAACUCCGUG
rnacentral:rRNA from 1 species